UGAACGCUAGCGGCAGGCCUAAUACAUGCAAGUCGAACGAGAUUAAGAGGCUUGCUUCUUAUGAAAGUGGCGCACGGGUGCGUAACGCGUAUGCAACCUACCUUAAUCAGGGGGAUAGCCCGAAGAAAUUCGGAUUAAGACCGCAUAAAAACACAGGAUAGCAUUAUCCAAUGUUCAAAUAUUUAUAGGAUUAAGAUGGGCAUGCGUGUCAUUAGCUAGUUGGCGGGGUAACGGCCCACCAAGGCGACGAUGACUAGGGGAUCUGAGAGGAUGACCCCCCACACUGGUACUGAGGCACGGACCAGACUCCUACGGGAGGCAGCAGUAAGGAAUAGUGGUCAAUGGAGGGAACUCUGAACCAGCCAUGCCGCGUGCAGGAAGACAGCCCUCUGGGUCGUAAACUGCUUUUAUUCGGGAAUAAACCUUUCUACGUGUAGGAAGCUGAAUGUACCGAAGGAAUAAGGAUCGGCUAACUCCGUG
rnacentral:rRNA from 1 species